AUGCCUGCGUUCGUGCAGGUGCCGUGCCGCAUGCCUCCGCCGGGACCAUCGAGCCCCCCGGCUCCUCCUGCACAGAGUGGGGCCGGCCGAUGGCUCAGCAGCAUCAAUCCCGCAGCAGGUCCUCGCCGGCGGCCAGGAUUGCUCCCGGCAGCAUUAAUGGCUGCAGGCUGCCGCUCCGCAGCGGCGGCCCCGAAUUCCCAGCAGAGCAAGGGCAAAAGCAAUUACGCUGCUUUUUCCUGGCCAGCUCAGUCGAGGGAGGCGCGAGGUUGGUUUAACCCGACAGGAGCGUGUCGCGGGGCACCAGCUGCUGCUGGCACCGGGCAUGGCCGGAGGAACCAAGCCAGGAGGAACCAGCAAGCCGGGAGGACCAAAGCGCAGCCCAGGUGCGGUGCAAGGACGUGCCCACAGCACCACCGCUUCCCGUGGCACCUUGCACCAUCAUCCCAAGGGAGCCGCGCUCGCUGCGAUGGCCCCGGGACCGGCAUGGCCGUGGUGGCAGGGGUGCCGCGCCGGAUGCAGGCAGCCCUGCAGAGYGGCACGCGGCCCCACGGGGCUUGGAUGCAUCUGGCACCUCUCGCCUACCUCCUUUGUAAGGGUGAAAAGAAACUCCCGCUAUCGCCAGAAUUCAAAUGGGGACCUGGAGCAGGUUGCUCUGCCACACCGGGGAGAGCCUGGAAAAGCAGAGCUUGCAAAACUGCCCCCCGGAAAGCACAGACUCCGAGAGGCGAGAAAAGCAUGUGGCUUUCCCAGGCGGGGGAAGAAAGGAAAUCGCCGAGCCCUGCUUCCCGCUCCGCAGCAUUGCGGGGCUUUUCCGUCAGGCCCCGACGCCUCUCCCCGAGGAGUUUGCAGAGAUUUGAGGAUCGUUGCUGUUGCACCGGCAACUUCAAAAAACAAACAGGGAAAAAAAAAAAAGCGAAGCACGGGGGGUCAUUAGCGCUCUGCUGGUUUUGCACAGCGGUUCUUCUCUCGCCGGAGCAGAAGGACCCGAUUGACAAGGUCAGCUAA
rnacentral:lncRNA from 1 species